CUGCUGGGAGAAAAAAGCUAU
rnacentral:miRNA from 1 species